rnacentral:rRNA from 1 species
UAUUGCACAAUGGGGGGAACCCUGAUGCAGCGACGCCGCGUGGGCGAUGGAGUACUUCGGUAUGUAAAGCCCUAUCAGCAGGGAAGAAAAUGACGGUACCUGACUAAGAAGCCCCGGCCAAAUACGUGCCAGCAGCCGCGGUAAUACGUAUGGGGCAAGCGUUAUCCGGAUUUACUGGGUGUAAAGGGAGCGUAGGCGGCCUGGCAAGCCUGAUGUGAAAUACCGGGGCCCAACCCCGGGGCUGCAUUGGGAACUGCCAGGCUGGAGUGCCGGAGAGGCAGGCGGAAUUCCUAGUGUAGCGGUGAAAUGCGUAGAUAUUAGGAGGAACACCAGUGGCGAAGGCGGCCUGCUGGACGGUGACUGACGCUGAGGCUCGAAAGCGUGGGGAGCAAACAGGA